rnacentral:miRNA from 1 species
UUCCCUCUCUGCGCAGUGCCCCUUCAGCAAAGCAGGAGGAGAAACGGAGCCCCUCUCUUUGCUGGAGAGGCACUGCGCAGAGAGGGA